rnacentral:rRNA from 1 species
UACGUAGGGUGCAGGCGUUAAUCGGAAUUACUGGGCGUAAAGCGUGCGCAGGCGGUCUGCUAAGAGAGGUGUGAAAUCCCCGGGCUUAACCUGGGAACUGCGCUUCUAACUGGCAGGCUAGAGUGUGGCAGAGGGGGGUGGAAUUCCACGUGUAGCAGUGAAAUGCGUAGAGAUGUGGAGGAAUACCGAUGGCGAAGGCAGCCCCCUGGGCUAACACUGACGCUCAUGCACGAAAGCGUGGGGAGCAAACAGG